AUGACGGUCCUAUGGAUUGUAAACUGCUUUUAUACGAGAAGAAACACUGCUUCGUGAAGCAGCUUGACGGUAUCGUAAGAAUAAGGAUCGGCUAACUCCGUGCCAGCAGCCGCGGUAAUACGGAGGAUCCAAGCGUUAUCCGGAAUCAUUGGGUUUAAAGGGUCCGUAGGCGGUUUAAUAAGUCAGUGGUGAAAGCCCAUCGCUCAACGGUGGAACGGCCAUUGAUACUGUUAAACUUGAAUUAUUAGGAAGUAACUAGAAUAUGUAGUGUAGCGGUGAAAUGCUUAGAGAUUACAUGGAAUACCAAUUGCGAAGGCAGGUUACUACUAAUGGAUUGACGCUGAUGGACGAAAGCGUGGGUAGCGAACAGGAUUAGAUACCCUGGUAGUCCACGCCGUAAACGAUGGAUACUAGCUGUUGGAAGCAAUUUCAGUGGCUAAGCGAAAGUGAU
rnacentral:rRNA from 1 species